CCCUUAGAUGUUCUGGGCUGCACGCGCGCUACACUGAAGCUAUCAACACGUUUUCCCUCCCUGAGAAGGGCGGGUAACCUUUUGAAUCAGCUUCGUGGUAGGGAUCGGGGCUUGCAAUUGUUCCCCGUGAACCAGGAAUUCCUAGUAGACGCGAGUCAUAAGCUCGCAUCGAUUAAGUCCCUGCCCUUUGUACACACCGCCCGUCGCUACUACCGAUUGAACGUUUUAGUGAGGCAUUUGGACCGACGCAUCUCAGUUUAACCGCUGGUUUGUGUUGGAAAGACUUCCAAACUUGUGCGUUUAGAGGAAGUAAAAGUCGUAACA
rnacentral:rRNA from 1 species